ACUAGGUGGUCCUGGUGGUCCAGGUGGUCCUUCUGGUCCAGGAGAUCCAGUUGGUCCAACUGGACCUCGAAUACCUCUUGGUCCUUGUCUGCCAUUUGCUCCAGGUGGUCCUGGUGGGCCUUCUGCUCCUGGGUCACCAUCUGCUCCAGGUGGUCCUUGUGGGCCUUCUGGUCCUCUUGGUCCUGUCGGUCCUGUUGGUCCUGUUGUACCAUUUGGUCCUGUUGGACCAUCUGGUCCAUCUGGCCCUGGGGGUCCUGGAGGGCCAGGUGGUCCUGGUGGACCAGGUGGUCCACCGACUUCUCUUGAUUCUGCAUUGCCUGACCCUGCUUGCGCAGAACUGUCAUCUUGAGCAACAUUUGCUUGUCUCUUUAUUUGCGCACCCAGACAGCUGGCUCC